rnacentral:rRNA from 1 species
GACGAACGUUGGCGGCGUGCUUAAUACAUGCAAGUCAACUGAAGCAGUGGUAGCAAUAUCGCUGUGGAGGUGGCGCACGGUUGAUUAACACGUAGUUAAUCUGCCUUCAGGUCUGGCUUAACUCCGGGAAACCGGUGCUAAUAGCAGAUGAUGCAGCGGCUCGACAUCGAGACAGUUGUUAAAGCUAUGGCGCCUGAAGAUGAGCCUGCGUCUGAUUAGCUAGUUGGCGGGGUAACGGCCCACCAAGGCAACGAUCAGUAGCUGGUCUGAGAGGAUGAUCAGGCAGACUGGAACUGAGACACGGACCAGAAUACUACGGGAGGCAGCAGGAAGGAAUAUUGCUCAAUGGGAGAAAUCAUGAAGCAGCAACGCAGCGUGAGGGACGAAGGGAGUGUGGUUGUAAACCGCUGUAGUGAGAGAAAAAAAUACCAAACUAGGGGACAUGAUGGUACCUCAAAAGUAAGCCCCGGCUAACUACGUG